GAGCAUUGGACAGCUGGAGAAUUUUGUUGUCUGUAUUCGUGUUGUGAAAAACUGGAAAUUGGAGGUUGGAGUACUGUAAUAAUUUUGUCAUUGAAUUGGUAUUUUGUUGGGAAUUGUAGGAUUUAUUUCAAUUUCAAACUAAAAUAAAGUUUAAAGUAUUUGAGUACUUAUUGUUUAUAAUAUGUCAGAUGAUGCCGCAGUAGUGUUUUUAUCUAAUUAACUAAUUCAAUAAUCCCUUUAAUUUGAAUAAUGCUCUAGUGAAGAUAGUUGAAUUUCCUGCCAAUAAAAUAUGAAUAAAGUUGAUGAAAACCCAACCGACCUCUGCAAUAUUCUUCUAAAAUGGCUGCAAACUUUCGACCUGCAAUCUCCCCAUAAAAGACUGGAGGAUAUCACCGAUGGGGCAGCUAUGGCUGAGGCACUCCAUCAGAUAGCUCCGGAGUUUUUCAACGAAUCAUGGCUAUCAAAAAUCAAGACAGAUUGUGGGGAUAACUGGCGAUUAAAGGUCAGCAACUUGAGAAAGAUUGUCAAGAAUAUAGUUGAUUACUACCAAGAAUGCUUCAACAUUCCUCUUACUGAGUUCGCAAAACCAGAUGUGACCAAAAUAGGAGACCAAGGUGACCCAGCAGAAAUUGCGCGUCUCUUGCAGCUUAUUUUGUGGUGUGCUGUCAAUUGCAACCAUAAAAAAGAUUAUAUCACAAGAAUAUUGAAACGCAUGGAUGAGUGUGAACAACAAGUGAUCAUGAAGUCGAUCCAGGAACUUGAGAAUAUCCAUGGCCCAGGACCAGUUAGCUUCUCGGCUAGUCUGGGCUUUGAAUUGGAACCUCAGGUACAGCAACUUAUGUCCGAAUUGCAAGCAGCCAAUGAGGCCAGAGAUCAGAUGACACAGCGGUGCCUGGAACUUGAUUUGCAGGUGAGUUUACUACAAGAGGAGAAGACGAGUUUGUUGGAAGAUAAGAAACGUCUUUUGGACCGAAUUCAGGAGAGUGUGGAUGAUCCCAGCACGGUCACACUCACUGGUCAGCUGCGUCGUCAGGUGGACACACUCAAAGACGAAAUUAUCACUUUGGAGAAUUCUCGAGACGAUUAUAGACUGAAAUUAGAAAUUCAGGAGAAGGACAUGCAGGAUUUACAGUUGAAAAUUGAUGAACUACAGCAAACAGCUGUAGAAGCACGCCAUUUGAAAGACGAAGUAGAUGUGCUUCGCGAAACUGCAGAUAAAGUGGAAAAAUAUGAAGCUACCAUCCAAAUUUAUAAGCAAAAGAUGGAAGAGCUUAGUGAUCUGAAAAGGGAAAUCAAGUCUUUGGAAUCGAAAAAUCUCGCUUAUAUUGAACAGAAUAUUGCUAUUGAAAAGGAAGUAUCAAAAAGCGCUGCGCUAAAAACGCAAGUCGAAAUUUAUAAGCAGCAAGUGGCUGAACUGCAUAAAAAGUUGAACGAAGAAACUAAGCGAGCAGAUAAGUUGGAAUUUGAAAACAAAAAAGUUCAGGACCAGCUUAAUGCUGUUAAACGUGAGAAGGAGAGCCUGAUGAGCGAACGCCAUCUUUUAAAAGAAUCGAAAGAGGAACUGGAAUGCCAACUGCAGCUAACUAUGGGUGUUGAAUCGGGUAUUCCAGUUCCCAAUCAGAGUAAUCUAUUUCCUGAGGAGUCUCUAGCUGAUAUCAAGCAAAAAUAUCUGGCUCUGCAACAUGAAAAUAACAUUUUGCGAAAGAAUCAACGAGGCCCCGAAGAUGAAAAAGCAUCAGUCAUCCAAUCAUUGUUGGACGACUCAGUCAAUCAUCUGAAUCAGUUGAGGCUAGAAAACAGACAAGCGAAUCAGCGUAUAAUGGAACUUGAAGAAGAACUGAAGGAAGCCUCAGACCGAGAAAGCGGCGUUGCCAGCUUGAAGGCCCAACUAACCGAUCUUCAAAACAAACUGCAGAGAGAAAAAGACAAGAAGCAGCUCGAAUUGGAAGAAAAAGACUUAGUUAUAGCUGAAAAAAGUAAAACAACAUAUCUCAUUGCUCCAAGAAACUCUCAAUCAAAAAGAACAAGAAUCUCAAGAUAACGAAGACAAAUUUAGGAAGUAUAAAGAUAAAGCUAUCCAUGUGAUGAAGGCUAUGGAUAACAAACAUAACUCCAUUUCGAAUGAUAAUAUCGAAGUGGCUACUUUGAAAAAUCAACUAAUAGAAAAGCAAAAAUUGAUUGAUGAAUUGAAGAAAGAAAACGACCGAAACAAACUGAUUAAGGAACAUGAGGAAAAGCUCAUGUCUUCAGUAUUCCACAACCUGGGACAGGUGAAACACAAAGAAUCAGUCGACCAAAGACUAACUCAUCUGAAUCUUGGUCAGAGUCAUUCCUUCCUUGCAAGACAAAGACAGUCAACUGGUCGUCACACCCCGGGAUAUAAUUCCAAAUAAGAAUGCAGCAACAGAAAUGAUAUCAGUACUGCAGAGAUUUCUUCCUAACCUAGAUUUUAAAGGUGCACUAUAAUAAUCACCUAGUGUAAAACCACACUAUUGUAUUCUAAUGUAUAAAGUAGCUACUAAAUAUUAUUCAAAGUGAAAAGUUUAUUUAUGUUGAGUAAAAUGUUUAUUUAUUUUUAAAUGAGUAUUAUGAACAGGGUACUUGUUACAUAUGCAGUAUUUGUUCAACAAUUUCAUCAAGAUGCAUGUAUUGUUGCAUGUAUUCAUAGACCAAGUUGAGCAUUCUAGUUUGAAUGAUGUCAGCCAAAUCAUCAAUUACUCGGGAUUAGAAUGUCCUGAGUUAUAAGCGCCUUAUUUUAUUAACAAAUGAGUAUAUUACAUUAAUGUAUGCAUUGAUGUAUUGUACAUUAUAGUGUAUAAAAGUGUAGAGUGAAUAAAUAAACG
rnacentral:misc_RNA from 1 species